UACGUAGGGUGCAAGCGUUAAUCGGAAUACUGGGCGUAAAGCGUGCGCAGGCGGUGAUGUAAGACAGGUGUGAAAUCCCCGGGCUUAACCUGGGAACUGCAUUUGUGACUGCAUCGCUGGAGUGCGGCAGAGGGGGGGAUGGAAUUCCGCGUGUAGCAGUGAAAUGCGUAGAUAUGCGGAGGAACACCGAUGGCGAAGGCAAUCCCCUGGGCCUGCACUGACGCUCAUGCACGAAAGCGUGGGGAGC
rnacentral:rRNA from 1 species